rnacentral:lncRNA from 1 species
AAAUUGGCAGGGGAAUGUCAGAGACAGGCAUGAAGUACUCCGGAGUCCCACACAUGGAAAUCAUUGGUGAGAGGCAUUGCCUGCUUGGUAGGAACAGAUGGGUGGUAGUAUGGGGGCGGGGGGGGGCUUCCAUUCCUGAACAGCCUCCCCCGGUCUGACUGUGGAUCAGACCACUCGCGAGCCUGUCAGCACUGAGGAUCUCCAGCCUCUCCCAGAGGAGGCUCCUCCCUUGGGCGGAGUGGGGACUUGCUUAGAAGGAUGACCCUGGAGGCAGGUUGCCACUUCCCACUUGAUACCUGCAGCUGUGCCAGGUGCCUGGGCCGCCUGCCUAAGCCACUCGCAUGGCCCAACUGCCUCAGGGGCUGCCAAGCAGCUGGAGUUUCCCUGCGGGUCUCCUCUAUCCCAUCAGGGCAGUUUAUUGAAUUUGAUUGUGAACAAAGAAUAUGCCAGGUUUAUUUUUCUCAUUUCUCCAAAAUAUGCAGCAAAGUCAUCUAUCAAAGAGCUCUAUGUCAAAAACAUUAAGGAAAAUUAAACUGUGGUUUAAUCUAGUGGUCUGGCCUCCUUGCCCAGUUAGAGCUCAGGGUGGUAUGUUUCCUGUGUGGGUCAGAGGAUGUUGAUUUGUUUUUUUUUGUCUUUUUGCCUUUUCUCGGGCCACUCCUGUGGCAGAUGGGGGUUCCAAGGCUAGGGGUCUAAUUGGAGCUGUAGAUGCCAGCCACAGCCACAGCCAUGCCGGAUCCUUAACCCACUGAACAAGGCCACGGAUGGAACCCAAAACCUCAUGGUUCCUCGUCAGAUUCGUUAACCACUGAGCCACGACAGGAACUCCCUGAUUUUUGCCUGCAGGAAAUGACUAUAAAUAAUCUCUUCUUGGAAGAAGACCUUGGAAAAAGGGCUCUCUUUUGCCGAAAGCCUGCAGAGGAGCGUCCAGGGAGCUCAAGUGUAAGAGCCUUUGGGAUAGAAUGGAAGCAGGCAGACCUUGGGGGCCAAGGGGUGAACGUUUUGUAAGAUUUUGUGGCAUCACUGAUUUCUUAUGUUUGCUGUACGGAAACUAUUAGAAUAUGAGUCUGAAAACAGGGCCUGUGUGCUUGACCUGGGGCUGCAAAGAGGGUGGAUGAUGCAGAAACUUUAGCUCUUUGCAUUGCCCGCGUAGACUGGGGGGUGGGAGGGUGGACGGUGUCAGUUACAAAGUGAAGAGAAAAGCAGACUGAGUUGUGACCCAUGGCAAGGACUAAGAAAGAGAACCCACGUAGCCUCAGGGCUUACCUAAAGAAAGACACACUUGUGUGUUUCCAGGGUGAGAGCCAACAGGCAGUCAGCUCAAGAGCAGACCACAGCUCCGUAAGAAGGCAAGAAUAUGCCUGAGGGCAUUUGUGAAACUUCUGGUGAUAACCAUCUUUCAUAGUUUACCUCAUAAACAGUGACUGGAAGGAAAUGGGAUCACCUCUCCCGUCAUUUUUCAUUCACACUUUUUAUGGUGGCAAAGGCCACGGGUCUCUCUGCCACUCCUCUGAUAGGCAGGACCCCUCUCAGGUGAUGGUACAGGUCUCACAUUCCUUGAGAAGGUGACCAGAGGUUUUUGGGAGGAGCAGAGGUGUACAGAAGAUGGAAUUGAAGAAAAGAAAAAUGAAGCAAAAGACAGCAAUGGUGUAGUGCCGAAAUUUCCAUUUGGCUGUGUCCAGGAGCUGUUCAAAGGAGGAUGUUCAGCCCAGGGAAGGGAUCGCAGGACCUGUGCAUGUCCUGCCUACACCCUUAUUUCGCUUGACAGCUGUCAUCUCCAUUCAACCCGAGGUAGUGGAGGGAGAAGGGCUUUAUUUUAUGAUCCAGGCUAUUGUUCCCCUCUAUUAGGGAAGACAUUGGACAUAGUUACAUCUGGGGCUGUAUCUACUGUGAUUGAGACUCUGUCUACAAGAACCUAGAAGAACUGGGUCACACUGAAAUUUUGUAAGUCCUGUAGCCAAAGUUCUAGCACACUGUGUGCUUGUUAAAGGUAAGAAAAUAGGUCAGUGAAAUGCAAAAUAAUCAGAGUUGUCUAAUUUUCCGAUAUUCAUACACUUUUUGAUAAAUCAAUCAUAAUAAUAAGUCCUUUAAUCAUAUUUGUUAGGACCAUAGCUCUAUAUAUCCAAUAUUUAUUUAUAUGAAAAUUUCAGAUUCAUAUUGAAGCAUUCAAAGCUGUCAAUGCAAAGUCAAGUUUAUAUAUAGAAUUGAAAAAGGACCUAUAGAAUCUAAUGUUAAGAAAUUUUUUUAUUAUUGUUGUUAAUGUGAUAAACAAGCUUUUCCUUCCUAUUUCCCCAACUAUUAAUAUUACUUUUAACUUGAUUUUCAUAGUACAUAUAGACAAUUUAGCAUCUUAAAAGCCUGAGUUCUCAUAUAUUCAUAUAUUCAUGCACAAUCCCCAAGUGAAAAGUAAUCCUUAAUCCUUAUUCUUAUAUGCAAGAUUUUAUUUUCACAAACAUUUAGUGCUGAGUCAGAUAUUUCUCACUUUCUGUCUUCCUUUCCUAAAAUAAAAUAGUUUCACAUCCCAGAAGGUCCGAACAAUAAACAAAGAAAAGAGUUAAAUAUGUACCUAAGGGUGAUUGCAAACCAUCUGCUAUAGAGAAAGGGGGCAGUAUUUUGUGGUUUCAGAUUAGAUUCUGAAUCUCUAACACUUGCAUCUGUAAUGUAAAUAAUGGGAGAUAUUCAAAAAUAUAGAAGAAAAUUCAGAAUUUUCUACAGCUUUCAUUUUGGAGAGUCUUUUCUAAGCGAGACAAGUAGAAAUAAAAAACAUUUCAUCACAUAACAUUUUUAUUUUUUUAAUGCUCAGUUGAAACUAGCAUCCAUUUGAAGGACAAAUAAUAGACUGGGGAAGAAUAUUUGCAGUGGAUAUCAGUGGGACAGAUAACAGGAUAGCUAAUAUAUUUGCUCUCCAACAGCAGAGAUCUUAAUAAUUAAAUAUUGUCAGUUUUUUGAUGAAAACCUUCAUGGGCCUCCCCAUGUUGCUGAGUAACAGGCGGUAUCGCUACUAGGACUGAGAAGGUUCAGCAUCCUCUGGCAGGCAGCUUCUUCCUGCCUCCAUCACCUGCCUUUCUGGGCCCUGCUCUGGUUCCCUUGGUCCCAGCUGCACUGCCUUCCUUGCUAUUCCUUGGAUAUUUCAAGCCUCUGUCAUGUUGGGGCCCUCAGCUCAUGCUGAUCCCUCUCCUUAGAUGGUCUCCCUACAGAUAUUCCAUUGGCUCCACCUGAAGGCCUUUGUUCAGGUGUCCUGUUAUUAGUGAGGUUUUUGCUGAAAGAGCCACCCAAAGGAUCGGAACCCUCCCAUCUGGACUUCAUUCUCACUGCUUUAUUUUCUUGGUAGCCCUUCAAGGCUAUACUCACCUUACUCUUGCUUAUGUGCUUUUAGUCUGUUUCUGGACUAGGAAGUAAAUUUUGUGAAGUCAGGGAUUUUGUUCACUGCUCUGUCCCCCGCCCACAGAAGUACCCUGGAUAUAGUAGCUGCCCAAUCUUGUUUGAAGGGAGGAAUCACGCCAUAUGAAGAGCUUCUAUAAACUGAUGAGGAAAAGAUUAAAUUCCAAUGGAAACAUGGCUAUAAAAUUCACACAAGAAAUCUAAAUGGUCAAUAAACAUAUGGCAAAUGCUUAAACUUAUUGAAGUAAAGGGAAUAUACAGUAAAAAGAGUAAGAUACCAUAUGUUUACCCAUCAAAUUGGCAAGAAGGUUGAGAUGCAGUAACAUUCAGCACUGUUAAAUAUUUGAGCCAUUGGGCUCUCCCCUACCUUGUUGGUGGGUACAUGAAUUGCUACUACGUUUUUGGACAGUAAUCUGUCAGUAUUUGUUAAAACUAAGUAUCUUCAUACUUAGGCAGGUUCUGGGUUUCAUGGGGCCAGAAGUUUAAAUUUCAUCAGCUUCUUUCAUUUUAGCUUUUUGGAUCAUUCUUCAAGAAAAAUAGUAGAAAAUUACAGAUAAAAAUCUGAGUCUAAGAUCAUUUAAGAGGGCUGUACAACCAGGGCUUUGAGUCUGAAGCUUCAUUUGCUUUCUAAUAAAUCUGCCUCCAUGGCACAUGCCCUUGGACUGGCAGUCCCACUUCUGGGAACAUAUGCUAUAGGAAUAAGAGACCCAGUGCAUAAAAGAUGCAUGUACAAGGCUAUUUACUGCAGAAUUGUUUGUAAUAGAAUGGAAAUUGGUAAUAAUCUUAAUAUUUUAAUAAUGAGAAUUUUGAAUAUAGUAUGUCUAUUCUAUAGAUUAUUAUAAAAACACAUUCUAUAUUAUUUUUUACAUAAUAUAGAAUAAUAUCUAUAGUAUAUAAUAGAAUAUAAUGUCUAUUCUCUAUUAGGUAAGAAAAGACAGCUUUAAAAGGAUGUGUAUAAUGUAAUCCAAUUUUGAUAAAAGCAGCAGAGUAAACAAGAGCAAAAAGAACAGCAUCACACUUGUCCAUCUUUAUAUAUUUUUACGUGUGUGUGUGUGCAACUCAAAGCUAUGGAAAGAUGUGUUAUUAAUAUUGGGUACUUCAGGGAAGAAGUGGGAUGGGAAUGGAUGGGGAGAAUGAAUAGUUCAUUUAUCUUUAUACAACCUAGAAUAACCCAACUAGUUUCCACAAUGCAUUCAUAUUUUCCCAGCUUUAUUGAAAUAUAAUUGACCUAUAACAUUAAGGUUUAAAAUGUGUUGAUUUGAUUUUAAUUAUAUGGUGCAAAAUAAUUACCACAAUCGUAUUAGCCAUACCUCCAUCCCAUCACAUAAUUAUUUCUUUUUUGUGUUGAGAAUAUUUAAGAUCUAUGGGAGCUCUAUUUUUAAUUUUUCUGAGGACCUUCCAUACUGUUUUCCUUAGUGGCUGUUAUCAAAUUACAUCCCCAGGAAUAUGCACAAGUGUUCCCCUUUUCUCUGCAUCUUCUCCAGCCCUUGUUAUCUCUUGUCUAAUGCAUUUUUGCUUUUAUAAUAAAAAGGAAUAAAGACAUUAAAAACAAGAAAAGAUAAUCUCAUGAAAUGUAGUGAUGAUUUUAUGGUGAAGAUGGUGAUGCUGAUAAAGCAUUUUGGAUUUCUUGCUCACUGGUACAGAGGUAGGUAAAGUGUAGACGCUGCUCUCAAGAAACAAACUGAGGCAAAAGAAAUGUUAAGAAAUGAAGUAAGCAAACAAUAAAAUGCCAGCUAUGCUGGAAAAGAACGAAUAGAGACCUGGAGUCUAAGGCAGCCUCACCGAGCACUUGCAUAAUUAUCCAUAGCAAACAAGUAAAGUUUGAGGGGCAACCACCUUGGGUCGUGUCCUCCAAGAAGGGCACAGAGUAUAAGGUCAAGAUAGAAAGUGAUGAGUUGCCAUUGUGGCUCAGUGGGUUAAGAACCCAGCUGGCAUCCUUGAGGACGCGGGCUUCAUCCCUGGCCUCUCUCAGUGGGUUAAGGAAGUGGUGUUGCCACAAGCUGUGCCGUAGGUCGCAGAUGUGGCUCACAUCUGGCGUUGCCGUGAGCUGUGGCAUAGGCUGGCAGCUGCAGGUCUGAUUUGACCCCUAGCCCGGGAACCUCCAUAUGCUGCAGGGGCAGCCCUGAAAAGAAAAUAAGAUAGAAGGUAACUAGAUUCGAAUGAUGCUACAAUACCAGCAUUAACGAGCACUCAGCACGUGCCGGGCACUGUGUUGAUUACCACAGUUUUGUCCAUCCAGUUUUCACACGGCCCGUGAAGUGAGUACUCUUAUUUUGCCUAUUUUACAGGGAAGGCAGUUGGUUCAGAGAGGUUUAUAUGGCCAGCAAGUGGUGCAUCAAGGACUCAAGCCCAGGCCUGUCUGACCCAGAGCCCUUGUCCUUAGUUGCCAUGGCAUCUGGCCUGGCCUCUUCAAAGUGUAACAAGUGUAUGACUUUUAAGAUCCAGCGUGCUAUAUCUAUUGAGCAGGAAGUGUUAAACGGUUAAUAAAAGGCUACUCUGGCCAAAAAAAGUGCUUUCCAGUAAGAACUUGAGCUUUAGAGAAAGGAGAUGUGUAAUUUAGUGUAAAAGGCGGGUUACAUCUUCUUUACAGUUGUCUUGCCAUAGGGGUAUGAUGGGUUCCCCUGCAGCACAGAGCAUAGAUUAAAACAUAGGUUUUGGAGUUCCCUUGUGGCUCAACGGGUUAAGACCUGGCAUUGUCAUUGCAGCAGUUUGUCACUGUUGCGGUGUGGGUUUGAUACCUAGUCUGGGAACUUCCACAUGUUGCAGGCACAGUUCCUGCCCCUAUCCCCCCAAAAAAGUAUUUUUUAUUGGACUAGAGGACACUUGUAGGAGACGGGAUGGGUCCUCUUAUCCGUCCAGUGAGAAACGUGUGCCAGGGUCUGUGUGCUCUGGGCCUGCACUGAGGGUCUCUGUACACCUGUAGAGAUGGCACCCUGAGGCUUCUAUUCUAGCAGGAGCAUAUUCAUUGAGAGCCAUAGUGCACUAAGCAUACAGUGUAGGUACAAAGAAGACUCCGGAAUUUCUGACUUCAAAGAACUUAGUUUGGGUGGAGGCUCAGACAAGGAGGCAGUUAUUAUGGCUGUGAUGUAAGUGAGAUGACAAAAGUAGGCACGGGGUUCUUGGGGUGCAAAAAAAGGGCAUGUGACUCAGCCCUGUGCCGUGCAGGGACGGCUUCGCAAGAGAGAUCUUCUUCAAAGUAAACUUUACCUCAUUGAUUUGAAGUCACAGGACUGGACCGGAUGACAUCUCUAGUCCUUCUGCAGCAUUCUGUGACCCUGCACGUGGUGACUGAAUCUCAUGAGAAGGAGGACCGCAGUUCAGCCGCGAGGAUUCCUUGACCAAGAGAACAAAAGGACUCUGAAGUGCCAUUAGAGAGACUUAGCCAGGGUGACCACCUUCUUGGGCGUUUGUUGGAGACGUUUUGGAUUUCAAACUCCUAGACCAUGCAGUGCCGAUGCAAUUGUUCAUCACUGCAUUAACUCUCCGCUCGAUUUUUGUGGGACCUUUGACCUUGUCAGAGCAUCUAGAAUUGGGGGGGUGACAUCUAGAACUGGGCAGGUUUAAAGUGGCUCUUGAUCUGGAGAAGGGUAUAGAAUUGCAGGUCCCGGAUUGCACAUUUUCUAUUCCACCUGUCACCUGUUUCUUUCUACAGUGUGGGAAAAUAGCAGCCUUCUGGACCAUCAGACUUGAGCUGGAGGUUGUUUCAAAGUCAUCGGCCGUGAAAAUGAAAUUGAUUGUACAUCCUUCCUAUGAUGUCAUCUUCAAACUUGUUGAUUGAAAACGAAGAGGAAAAAAAUCAUGACCUAAGUGAACACAGGAGGAGGACUGGGGGUUAGAACAGAUGAUAUUUAUGACUGACUGAGAAUUUCAAUCUCAGCAACUAAAAUGAUGAACUUGGGAUCACUGGAAGUGGAAAUAGUUGACUUAACAGAUGGUAGGCGGCUCUUGUCAGAGAAUACUGUUCUGAGCAUGAGCCUAAUUGAGUAGUUUAUAUCUGUAUAAAUUAACAUUUUUUAAAGCUGUGAUAUUCUCAGGAGAAUUUUCAGGAUAAACAUUUUGAAUUUUCCAGGUCUCUUCAGUGGAAAACUUAUCAUUGGCCAAAGGUUAAUUUUACCAGUUUGAAAAUUAUACAUUGGAAAUUCAAAUGGACCAUGAUCUAUCUUUAAA